rnacentral:lncRNA from 1 species
GAACUCGCCAAGAUCAAAUCGUGAAGUCUAGAAGCUUGCCGGGAGUCCGCAGAAUGGUUUCCGAGAGUUUAUCGGAAGACCGCCGGAAGUUCGCCGGAAGCUCGCCGAAAGAAGUCUUGACUUACGGACUUUGUAAUAGCUUAGAAAAUGUCUUUAAAUUCGUAGUUAGCACGUUAAUUAGGGCUAGGAUUAGGUGUUAAUCCUAUGACCAAAGUAGGGGCCAAUUGGGCCCGAGUUCGGACUGGUUUGGGCCAAUUUUGGAGCCCAACCAGUGAGCUGAAAUAGUGUAGGCGGUGGCACCGCCUAGACUAGGCGGUGGCACCGCCCAGAGGCCGAGAGAUCAGGCGGUGGUACUGCCGGACUAGGCGGUGGCACCGCCAAACACCCGAGAAGUCAGGCGGUGGCACCACCAGUGCAACGGUCAACUGGCGGUGGCACCGCCAGCCUCGGGAACUCAAGGGAAUUCAAAUUUUAGAGAUCAAAUUUGAAUCCUCUUGGGGUCUAUAAAUAACCCCCAAUUCUCAGCAGAGAAUACAACCUUUUGAGAAGUUAGAGAUUGAGAUAAAGCCUUAGCAAAGUCUUUAGCAAGUCUUGUUUUCAAUAGUUUAAGUGUUCACCUCCCUCAUUCUCUUUGAAAAUCUGUAAGAGUGUGAACCACUUGUAAAUGAUUGUAAAAGGGGUGUAAGAAGGAGGUUGAUGUUCGCCUAGUAAAGGAAGAUCAUUAGUGGAUGCCGGUGGCCUCGACGGAAGAGGAAUCAGAGGAGUGGAUGUAGGUCACGAUUAACCGAACCACUAUAAACUACCGUCUUCUCUGGUUUGCAUUUACUUCCUGCUAUUACCUUACUGCAAACCCUUUCAAUAGCUUACUGCCUUCAAGUUAAAACGCAAUUGAAACGGUUUCAAACGAAACGUUGCUUUUAUCAUAUGAAGUUUCCGAAAGUGUUUAAAUCAUCGAAAGUUUAUCAUACUUUACCGUUGAACUAAUUCACCCCCCCCCUCUUAGUGCCGCUCCGGUCCUAACAAUUGGUAUCAGAGCCCGGUAUUUCUCAUUUCGGAUUUACACCCGAGAGAAAUGGCUCUUCAUGGCUUUCAAGAGGGCUUAUCGGUUGUUCGUCCACCGUUGUUUAACGGAUUGGACUACACUUAUUGGAAAACUCGAAUGAGAGUUUUCUUGAUUUCUAUGAAUUUGGAUUUAUGGAAUAUUGUUGAAAAUGGUUUUCAACUUCCCUCUAGACCGAUUAACGAAUGGUCGGAUUUGGAGAAGAAUUAUUUUUCUUUAAACGCAAAGGCUAUGAAUGCCUUAUUUUGAGCUUUGGACAAAAAUGAGUUCAAUCGGAUUUCAACGUGUGAAACGACUUUUGAUAUUUGGCGAACACUUGAAAUCACGCACGAGACAACUAGCAGAGUCAAAGACUCGAAAGUUAACAUUCUAUUGCAUGAUUUUGAGCUUUUUCGAAUGCAACCAAGCGAGACUAUAGGCGACAUGUACACUCGUUUCAUGGAUGUCGUCAAUAAUCUAAGAGUUCUUGGUAAAUCUUUUUCAAAUUUUGAUCUCGUAAGCAAGAUCUUAAGAUCCCUUCCAAAAAGGUGGGAUCCUAAAAUAACCGCAAUACAAGAAACAAAAGAUUUAAAUAUUUUUCCACUUGAAGAACUAAUUGGUUCAUUGAUGACAUAUGAAAUGGUGCACAAUGAACAUGAUGAACAUGAUGAACAAAAUCACCUUCCAAAGAACAGGAAGGAUUUGGAACUCCGGACAAAUGAAUAUCACUUGAGCAAUGACUCAAGUGAUGAGGACAAUGAUGAACUUGAACUUCGAACACUAAAUCUUAAUAAGUUCAUUAAACAAAAAUCUAAAAUAAAUAAUGAACUUGAACGGAGGAAGAGGCCAAAGAAGAGGGAGGCAACCAAGGAUGAAUCAAGAAAUUCUAAAGGUGAAACGGCGAAUUGGGCUUUGACAAGCUUCGACUACAAGGUAAGUAACUCAACUCUCUUGAAUUAUUUUGAAAUUACAUAAUACUUUUCAUGAGUUAUUUUUAAUUUAGUUUAGGAUUAAUUUUCUUAAAAAUUACAUGAAAAUAAAAAAUCUGAAAUCAUGCUUAUCAUUCUAGUAAUUUUGAAAAUAAUCAUGAAAAUUGUAUGUUUAUGAUAAACAAAAUGAUUUUGAUUGAAAAUGUCUUAUGAAAUAUGAUAUCAUGCCUAAUAAAUUUAUUUUUUGAAGCUAUGCAAUGAUGAGUUUUGGGUAAUUUAUAGUUUAUUGAUUAUAGAUGAUUUCCAUAAUGAUCUUUUACGAUUUAUGGAUUAUCGAUUUAUACCAUGAUGAAAGUUGCUUUCGAAAAUGAUACACGGCUUUUGUAUGCAAACUAAGCAUGAAAAGAUAGAUUCACCUAAAAAGAAAAAUGUAUGCCUACAACAAAUAACACAUGAUUUUGGUUGAAAAUACUUUAUACUCAAUGAAACCAUCAUUGAUGAAUAUGCUUUAUGUUUAAUAGUUUCUUUGGCUUAUAUGCUCUAUCAUGAUAAAUAUUUUGAAAAUAAAUGAAAUCAUGUUUGAUUUGAAGUAAUGUAUAAUGAUCGUGCUUAAUGAUGCAUUUUUUUAUUUGACAUAAAAGUGGCUUUAAAAAAAAAAAAUAUGAUGUGUGUUUUGAUUUGAUAUAAAUGAAACAAAAUCAUAUGUUUUGAAACGAUCGAAAAGAGGAAAACAUUCUUGAAAAUUAUUUUGCUCAAUCUUAUUGAUUUUAAUGAAUCCAUUUGUAUCAUCUUUGUGAAUCUCUUAUAUUUUGAUAAUGAUUUUGAUCAUUUAAAUUUAAAUAAUUUUUUUAUUGAAAUCACGAUCUUGAUCUCUUGAAAUUUAUAACAUGAAAUCCUUUAUGAAUCAAGAUUGUUUUCUAUUUAAAGAGGAGAAUUUUCUAGAUGAAUCAUGAUUUUGAUGAUUGAAUAUUUGGUGUGCAUGAAUUGAGAUCUUGCUCUCCUACUAUUCUUUUUUCUAUUCACCAAAAGGAAGACUAAUUCUAAUAAACCAUGAUAUGCUAUAUGAAUUUUAUUGUAUUCAUGAAGUAAUAUCUCAUCACUAAUUUUUGUUUAUAUUCCUUCAUGUGAUGAAAUGAAUGUAUGAAAUACUUAUGAUAUGAUUUUUUAUACAAUUCCAUGUAUUCGUGAAAUAUUUAUCUCAUCACCCAAUUAAUUCCUCUUGAUACUCCUAAUGUGAUGAAGUGAAAUUAUGCAUGAAAUACAAAUGGGGAGAAGUUUUGAUCAUGCAUGGUAGGAUAUAAUUUGACAAAUUGAUACCAUCAUGAGAUGAAACAUUUAUGAUUUGCAAUGAUGUAUGUAAUACUUGUGCUUUCUAAUUAUGAUGUGAUUUAUUACAUAUGAUGUAAAUCAUGAUUUAAAAUACUAUGAGUUGUUGCUAAAAUGAUGUAUUAUAAAUAUUGAUUUAAUGUUUUGUAUCAUGAAUACUCUAAAUGAUGAAUGUUUGGUAUCAUAAUCAAAAUGUUGACAAAUAGUUAAAAAUUUUAGUAUCAUGUAUGAUAUCCUCAUAAUAUUGAUCGAUUUAUUCAAUAUCGUGCAUGAAUGAAUAUAAGGUUUUUGAAAAUGUGCAUAUUCUAAUUUGAAAAUAUAAUAAUGCACAAAUAAGAUUGAUACUUACCUUUGUCAUAAUCUGAAAAUUGAUAUAAGGGUAUUCCCUUCCAUUUGACAAUGACAUAGGGGGAGCAAAUUUUGCUAGCUUGCAAAUCUCAAGAGAAGCAAUGUGUGCUAAGUUACAUAUUUUGAGAAGAAAUUGCUAUAUUGAAACAUUAAUGUAGUUAUGAAUGAUGAUUUGAUAUUAUGCAUGCAAUACUUCAACUUAUGAUAAUGAUGCAUGCAAUGAUAAAAUAUUCAUGAUGAAAAAUUGUCUUGACAUUCAUAACUUGAUUAUUCAUCCUUUGUCAUUAUUUGAAAAUCGUUGUAAAAGGAAAAAGAACUACAAAACUAUAUUCUUCUUUUCUUUUUGACAAUGACAAAGGGGGAGAAAUAUUGCUAGCUCAAGAUGCAAAAUUUGGAAACUUGCACAUUGCAAAAGAAGCAAACUUGCUAACUCGCUCAUAUCGAAAGAGAAGCAAAAAGUGCUAACUUGCAUAUUUCAAGAAGCAAAAGUUGCUUUUUGAACAUCUUAAAACUGCUAUCUUGCAUGUUCUAAAAUAUUGUAAAAUGUUAUGAAGAAGGAUAUGCUAUCUUACUAUCUUAUAUAUCUAAAACUUGAUAGCUUGUAUAUUCUAAUGUGAUAUAGCACUUGCUAAAUUUUUGCUAGCUUGCAUGAUGUAGCAUUGGCUAAAUUUUUAAACUUCCAAAAUUGCAUGAUGAUAAAACCUGAUAUUAUACUUUUCAUGCAAUGAGUUGAACUUAUAUCACAAACACAAUAAUAGUAGUACUUCUCCUUUUUGUUGAUGACAAAGGGGGAGAAGUAUGUUGAUGACAUGACAUGUUAUGCAUAAGUUUAUGAUGGCAUGUUGCUUGGAUGUUUGAAUCCAAGAGUUUCUAUCAAUAUGGCAUAUUGAUAGGGGGAGUUUGUUUAAACUCCGGGAGUUAAGGUUAACUCCGUCAUCAAGUGGUUGUCAUCAUCAAAAAGGGGGAGAUUGUUGAAUCUCGUAUUUUGAUGAUGAAACCACUUGAUAUAUGUUUAUGAUUUAACUGCAUUUUGAGUGAUGCAGGUCUACUCGAUCAGGAUUAGACAGUUGACGCAGGAGGAAUUGACGUUGUGCCAGAGGAGAUCACGUCAGGGUAUUGGACGGUAGAAGGCUUCGGACGUCGGGCAUCGGGCCAAGGAGAGCGGAAUUGUGCCAAGGAUAUCGGGGUUGCAGAGGUCAACCAUCGAUUGGGCAACAAGCCGCAAGAGAGGACGAUGCGCUGAAGAAUCGGACGAAGCGCCAACCAAUGACGUGCCGGGCAACAGAAUGUCAAUUCACGUUGUAAUAAUUGUCUAGAUCGGAGUAGAGUUUUGGCUUGUGUGUGUAGGAUUAACUACGAUAACGAUGAAGACAUAAAGCGAAACAAAGUGCCGGAGUCAAGCACGAAGGAUUCGUUGGGAGUUCGAGAGUUCGACGGAAGUUCGAAGGUUCGUCGGGAAUGCUGCUGGAACUAGCCGAGAAUAAGUAGGGAGCUUGCUGAAGGGUUUUCGGAAGCUCGCCGAAAGGUACGUCGGAAGUUCGCGGAGCUUGCCGAGAAAGAUCGUAGCUUGCCGAAGAAUAUCGUUGGAACUUGCCAAGAUCAAAUCGUGAAGUCUAGAAGCUUGCCGGGAGUCCGCAGAAUGGUUUCCGAGAGUUUAUCGAAAGACCGUCGGAAGUUCGUCGGAAGCUCGCCGAAAGAAGUCUUGACUUGCGGACUUUGUAAUAGCUUAGAAAAUAUCUUUAAAUUCAUAGUUAGCAUGUUAAUUAGGGCUAGGAUUAGGUGUUAAUCCUAUGACCCAAGUAGGGGCCAAUUGGGCCCGAGUUCGGACUGGUUUGGGCCAAUUUUGGAGCCCAAUCAGUGAGCUGAAAUAGUGUAGGCGGUGGCACCGCCUAGACUAGGCGGUGGCACCGCCCAGAGGCCGAGAG